rnacentral:rRNA from 1 species
AGUCGAGCGGAUGAAGGGAGCUUGCUCCCUGAUUCAGCGGCGGACGGGUGAGUAAUGCCUAGGAAUCUGCCUGGUAGUGGGGGACAACGUCUCGAAAGGGACGCUAAUACCGCAUACGUCCUACGUGAGAAAGUGGGGGAUCUUCGGACCUCACGCUAUCAGAUGAGCCUAGGUCGGAUUAGCUAGUUGGUGAGGUAAUGGCUCACCAAGGCGACGAUCCGUAACUGGUCUGAGAGGAUGAUCAGUCACACUGGAACUGAGACACGGUCCAGACUCCUACGGGAGGCAGCAGUGGGGAAUAUUGGACAAUGGGCGAAAGCCUGAUCCAGCCAUGCCGCGUGUGUGAAGAAGGUCUUCGGAUUGUAAAGCACUUUAAGUUGGGAGGAAGGGCAUUAACCUAAUACGUUAGUGUUUUGACGUUACCGACAGAAUAAGCACCGGCUAACUCUGUGCCAGCAGCCGCGGUAAUACAGAGGGUGCAAGCGUUAAUCGGAAUUACUGGGCGUAAAGCGCGCGUAGGUGGUUUGUUAAGUUGGAUGUGAAAUCCCCGGGCUCAACCUGGGAACUGCAUCCAAAACUGGCAAGCUAGAGUAGGGCAGAGGGUGGUGGAAUUUCCUGUGUAGCGGUGAAAUGCGUAGAUAUAGGAAGGAACACCAGUGGCGAAGGCGACCACCUGGGCUCAUACUGACACUGAGGUGCG